CUGGUGCCCACAGGCUGUUGGGUGGGACCUCGGCUUUCCACUAAUGAGCCAGGAUGGCAGCUGCCAGAUGCAGUGUUCACACGGUAGAAUGUUCCCAAAUAUGGCUGACACCAGUAUCUAUGUUCCUAGGGUGAGCUGCAGCUGCCCCCUGCCUCUCCAGGAGACUCUCCAAGACCAGCAGGUGUGGAUACAAGGGGAAGACAACUAAUUGUCUGCAACCAGGAAGAGGGCCCUCGCCGAGACACUGGAUCUGCCAGCACCUUGAUCUUGGACUUUCCAGCUUCUAGAACUGUGAGAAAUAAAUGUUUAUUGUUCAA